GACGAACGCUGGCGGCGUGCCUAACACAUGCAAGUCGAGCGAUGAAGUUCCUUCGGGAACGGAUUAGCGGCGGACGGGUGAGUAACACGUGGGCAACCUGCCUUAUAGAGGGGAAUAGCCUUCCGAAAGGAAGAUUAAUACCGCAUAAGAUUGUAGCUUCGCAUGAAGUAGCAAUUAAAGGAGCAAUCCGCUAUAAGAUGGGCCCGCGGCGCAUUAGCUAGUUGGUGAGGUAACGGCUCACCAAGGCGACGAUGCGUAGCCGACCUGAGAGGGUGAUCGGCCACAUUGGGACUGAGACACGGCCCAGACUCCUACGGGAGGCAGCAGUGGGGAAUAUUGCACAAUGGGGGAAACCCUGAUGCAGCAACGCCGCGUGAGUGAUGACGGCCUUCGGGUUGUAAAGCU
rnacentral:rRNA from 1 species